GACGAACGCUGGCGGCGUGCUUAACACAUGCAAGUCGAACGAUGAAGGAGAGCUUGCUCUCCGGAUUAGUGGCGAACGGGUGAGUAACACGUGACUAACCUGCCCCUUUCUCUGGGAUAACGCUCCGAAAGGAGUGCUAAUACCGGAUACGAACUCUGAACACAUGUUCGGAGUUGGAAAGUUUUUCGGAAAGGGAUGGAGUCGCGGCCUAUCAGCUUGUUGGUGAGGUAAUGGCUCACCAAGGCGACGACGGGUAGCCGGCCUGAGAGGGCGACCGGCCACACUGGGACUGAGACACGGCCCAGACUCCUACGGGAGGCAGCAGUGGGGAAUAUUGCACAAUGGGCGAAAGCCUGAUGCAGCGACGCCGCGUGAGGGAUGAAGGUCUUCGGAUUGUAAACCUCUUUCAGUAGGGACGAAGCGAAAGUGACGGUACCUAAAGAAGAAGCACCGGCUAACUACGUGCCAGCCGCCGCCGUAA
rnacentral:rRNA from 1 species